UAAAGAGUUUCAAGUUAAGUUAUAACUUUGGUCAAGUAGAGUAGCAUCACCUCACAAACUUUUCGAAUUACUAUAAUAUGCAGGCUAGUAUGAGUUGACUACAUACCCCUGCUUACUGUUUUACUUUUGAACGAACAGGAUGUUGAUCGUCUUCUUGAAGGUGUGUUCUUCGACUUGGAUCACCUUUCACUAGCCUUGCUCUUGCUCGAGGA
rnacentral:misc_RNA from 1 species